rnacentral:lncRNA from 1 species
CCGGCUCUCCGGUGGUGGGAGGACAGGGUUCUGCGGUGCCCUUUGUCGACCCCGCUGUGCAGGGCAGGGAAGGUCAGGAUCGCGAAGAGCCAAGUUCGAGCUCCGAUAACUCUCCGUGCCCAUAGAGGGUGGGGCGGGGAGGCGUGACUGCCCUUGAUGAUGGUGAGGGGAGAGAGGGAGCGCUGCACCUCUGGGGAAAACAAGUCAGCUCUGUCGUGGAGCUAGUGUAGGCGUUCAGAGCGCCUUUUGCAAUUAUUCUGCCCCCAGACUGCCUGGAAUCCAGCCCGUCCUUCCUAUCGCACUGCUACAGCCCUAGAUACCUUUUGUCCCAAGCUGUGCAAGUGUCUCUUCCCUGGGCUUGCCUCGCCUAUUCUCAGUGCUGCGGACCUGAUGAAUUACUGUCCGUUCUCUGCUGAGAAGCCCAGACAGCAUCUCGUCUUUGAGAUUCCACUUCCUUCACAUGGAGUCGUGUCCCCCGCCCCCCGACCCCAAAGCCGCCUGGGUUCCAGUUAGCCUUGCCGAAGACUUGCUCUGCUUGGCAUGCCCUUCCUCUCAAUGUUUUAUCUUCUAUGAAGCUUCACCCUCAAACCCUGAGACAUUUAUUACAAAAUCAUUUCUCGUGGAACAAGAACAUGUACUUUCAUGGUGCAAGGCUGCCUGAUGUUUCCCAGGUUUCAAUGGCCCAGGCAGAUAAUGGAAACUCAGCAAGGUCAGAAGAAAGAAGAACAGAUCUAUCCUUAAGUAGGAAAAAUAACCGUGUUCCAAGUAUACAGAACGGGAACAAAUGAAGUAUUUCUGGUCAGAGUUUCCAAGUGGAUAUGGUUAUUACCGAGAAAGGCAGACUCACGGACAGAGCUCCCCGCUCGGCCACGUAAGAAUGGGCCUUGGACCUGGAACACUUCCUUACCAAGGUAUGAAGAGCCCACAC